UACGUAGGGUCCAAGCGUUAUCCGGAAUCACUGGGCGUAAAGCGUGCGUAGGUGGUCUGUUAAGUGAGAUGUGAAGGCGUGUGGCUCAACCAUAUCGUUGUGUUUCAUACUGGCAGACUAGAGGACAGCAGAGGCAAGUGGAAUUACGAGUGUAGCGGUAAUAUGCGUAGAUAUUCGUAGGAACACCAAUGGCGAAGGCAGCUUGCUGGGCUACUCCUGACACUGAGGUACGAAAGCGUGGGGAGCGAACAGG
rnacentral:rRNA from 1 species